rnacentral:rRNA from 1 species
ACACUGCUCAGUAACACGUAGCUAACCUACCCUUAGGACGUGGAUACCCCCGAGAAAUUGGGGUUAAUCCGCGAUAGAUGUAAUGUCCUGGAAUGGUAUUACGUCUAAAGGUAUUUCAUACAUGUUUGAAAUAUGCCUAAGGAUGGGGCUGCGGCCGAUCAGGCUGUUGGUGAGGUAAUGGCUCACCAAACCUUUGACCGGUACGGGCCAUGAGAGUGGUAGCCCGGAGAUGGACACUGAGACAAGGGUCCAGGCCCUAAGGGGCGCAGCAACCGCGAAACCUCCACAAUGCACUCACGUGCGAUGGGGCUAUCUCGAGUGCCACCUGAUGAAGGUGGCUUUUCCUUGGUCUUCAAAGCCUUGGGAAUAAGAGGGGGGCAAGACUGGUGUCAGCCGCCGCGGUAACACCAGCCCCUCGAGUGGUGGGGAUGAUUAUUUGGCCUAAAGCGUCCGUAGCCGGCCGUGAAAGUCUUCCGUUAAAUCCAGCGUCUCAAGCGUUGGACCGCGGGAGAUACUACAUGGCUAGAGAGUGGGAGAGGUCAGCGGUAUUCUGGGGGUAGGGGCGAAAUCCUUUGAUCCCCGGAGGACCACCAGUGGCGAAGGCUGCUGACUAGAACACGUCUGACGGUCAGGGACGAAAGCUGGGGUAGCGAACCGGAUUAGAUACCCGGGUAGUCCCAGCCGUAAACGAUGCAUGCUAGGUGUUGGGUUGGCCACGAGCCACCCCAGUGCCGCAGGGAAGCCGUUAAGCAUGCCGCCUGGGAAGUACGAUCGCAAGAUUGAAACUUAAAGGAAUUGGCGGGGGAGCACCACCAGGCGUGAAGCCUGCGGUUUAAUUGGAUUCAACGCCGGA